CUCCCAUAGACCUCCAGAGGAAACAAUGGCGGACGUUUUUUCAGGCUACUUCCGCGUUAUGGAGAGCUCAACAGUUCUUAACAGUGACAUUCGCGGAGUUUGCCUCAUUCACUUCCAUUGGUGUCUGCCUAACUUUGUCAGCGAUGCUGAAAGUGACGUGACAAGACAUUGUCUUCAAUUAAGUGGUCCUUCAGUGCCACUGCUUUGGUUGACACCAUAAGGGAUUCGGUCGUCCUUGCCGGACCAACUGCUCCACUUUACUGAUGAUAUUGAAGGCCUCCCGCAAUGGACAGUAAAGGGUACCUCUCUUAAAUUCCUUCAGUUGUAGCAGUACACUACAUUUGCUGUCAGCACAGUCAUUGUUGUCUGUACAGCAUGCUGGCAUUCCUCACAAAGUCAGUUACUGAUUACCCUCAGUAUUGUUCUUAUUACAAUAAGAAAAGUCUCCUUGUGUUGAUGAAUGCAAUGGCUAAAGUGCAGUGAUUUCUUAUAGCCUGUCAGCUUUUUAUUCUCAAAAUAACUAUGAAAGAUAUUGUUGGGAAUCAUUGGUGUUAUAAAAGUUAUAAGGUGUGGCACCCCCAACCAACCUUGAAGGGGUCGGCCGUGUAUGGGUAUGUAAAACUCUUGCUGGCCUUUUGCUUUUGUUUAUGCUAAUACCUUGAUGUGGCAUCUGUGAAUGUAUUGUACCAAGUAUACACUGACUUUUACCUGCUCUCUCCAUUUUCCACUGUGCCUGUUCUUGCUUAGGACCAAGGAUGCAGAGGACAAGACGGGUGUGUAGUAUUGACUGAAAUUAUCAGAGAAGGUCAUUUUUUAUGGUUUAGGUCCAAACGAAGGGACCCUUCCAACCUCAGCAUCUCCAACACCUCCUGU